GAUGAACGCUGGCGGCGUGCCUAAUACAUGCAAGUCGAGCGAAUGGAUUAAGAGCUUGCUCUUAUGAAGUUAGCGGCGGACGGGUGAGUAACACGUGGGUAACCUGCCCAUAAGACUGGGAUAACUCCGGGAAACCGGGGCUAAUACCGGAUAACAUUUUGAACCGCAUGGUUUGAAAUUGAAAGGCGGCUUCGGCUGUCACUUAUGGAUGGACCCGCGUCGCAUUAGCUAGUUGGUGAGGUAACGGCUCACCAAGGCAACGAUGCGUAGCCGACCUGAGAGGGUGAUCGGCCAGACUGGGACUGCGACACGGCCCAGACUCCUACGGGAGGCAGCAGUAGGGAAUCUUCCGCAAUGGACGAAAGUCUGACGGAGCAACGCCGCGUGAGUGAUGAAGGCUUUCGGGUCGUAAAACUCUGUUGUUAGGGAAGAACAAGUGCUAGUUGAAUAAGCUGGCACCUUGACGGUACCUAACCAGAAAGCCACGGCUAACUACGUGCCAGCCGCCGCAGUAA
rnacentral:rRNA from 1 species